UUCGUAGGCGGUGUGGCAAGUCGGGAGUGAAAUCUCUGGGCUUAACUCAGGGGCUGCUUCCGAAACUGCUGUGCUAGAGUGUGGGAGAGGCGCGUGGAAUUGCAGGUGUAGCGGUGAAAUGCGUAGAUAUCUGCAGGAACACCCGUGGCGAAAGCGGCGCGCUGGACCACUACUGACGCUGAGGAACGAAAGCUAGGGGAGCAAACA
rnacentral:rRNA from 1 species